AAAAAGAUUGAUACCUGUUUUUUCUCCUUCAUUCUCAGAGAAGGGAACGGUGUUUGUCAUAAAUUGGCAAAGUUUGCCAUACCCAUUGCAGGUGAAAUUGAUUGGAGGGAUUCCUUCGCAGUUUGACUAACCAAUUUAGUCAAAGAAGAUGCUGGAGCAGUUGCCCCAGUUGAUUAAACCUUUGUAUGGUUGCUUUUUUAAUGAAAAUGCUGUUACCGGUUGAAAAAAAAGUUUGAAUAGGCCAUGAUCACCCUUAGAUGUACAAACUCAUUAUUGUUUUUGGGGGGUUUGGUAGCAGAAAGGGCACAAUAGUACUAAUAACCUACCAUCAUCUCAAUAAUUCAUCUCAUGUACUUCAUUGAUAUCUGUGCAUCACGCGGUAUUGUCAAUUGGUGCACGUAAAAAAUAUCAAAUAUUUUCAGGCUAAAAUCCUGCAUAUAUGGUGAAUUUUUCUCUCCCUUGGCUAUCACCUUUGUCAAGAAAAAUUCUUUGUCAGACAAUCAAAAUUGCGGUCUGUGGAGUGCCAGCAUCCAAGGCUAUCCAGGGCGAAAGAUACAUGAUCCCUGCUGAGAGUACAACUGUCCUGUAUCUAAGGGCAAUCUGCCAGUGAAUAUCCUUAUUUUGGGAGAUCAGGACUUCCUGCUACUGGAAUGGAAUGCUUAUCUGUAAUGCAUUUUUUAAUACUUUGUUAUUCCGUCAUGCUUCUCUCCCAACGAUUUGGACUUUGUGCAAUCGGAAGAUGGGCUCAGAUAAGGAAGUGAGAUAUGACAUCAACGUGGGCACAUAAUAGACUUUAUACCAAAUGUCAGGGACCUUUGCCCCUCCAUAUGGUCCAGUAAUUGCACUGUGAGCGUGUGUAAAUGCCUAAAAUGUUUAUUGUUAAGUCUGUGACAUUCCUGUUAGUAUGUUUAAUACUUGGAAUUACUGCAAUUUGUCACUUUGAAUUUCUGCUCGAACCAUUCUUGCUGCAUUUCCUUUCAGUAUCUUGUCUUGCUAUCUGGAUUCUAGAGGGUCUUGCCUCAGUCUUGAUGUUUCUUGAUUAUGCAGAGGAAGACUUUCAUUGAAAUCCUUAAUCAGUUGCAGUAAGAUGCAAAUGAGUAUGAUGUUAUAAUCUCGAGGACAUUUGAGCUACAAAGUGCAAACACUUUCACUGGUUGAAAUCCUUUUAUUUGGAGUGGCUAUCUUGGAUGUUCUCUUCACUGGUUAAGGGGGUCAUGGUUAUGUUUAUCAACAAAGUCAGUCAAAUAUACAGACAACUACCUUUAUACACCUAUAGAGAUGUUUGGACCGUUGAUUAAUAAUGUUAGCUAGGUAAUGCCAGUAUUAGGAAUAAAAGAAAAAACAAGAAAGAAAAUGAGUCCUGCAAAUUUGGCCCUUCCCAGCAAAGGGUGAACUUUCAUCGAGGCAUAAGAUCAGAAACCGUUGCCAUAUUAACUGAACAAAAUUCCUCAUCUGUUCUGAAAUUUGUCUCUACAUCUUUGUGUUCGUUGGUUGAAAAUGCAGGCAUCUUAGGAGUGGGCAGACUCUCAUUCUCAUUCUUCAGCAUAGAGGAGACCUCUAACAUGGAUGGCCUAUCUUCCCAAUUUUCUUGGACACAUAGCAGAGCUACUUGCAUACACCUUAGAAGUUUGCAUGGCGAUUGAUCAUCAUCAAGUGAUGGAUCCAGGAACUCCAAGGCACUGCCAUCUUUCCACAGUUGGUAUGCCUAAAAAUGUCAUUAUUGCAGAGACUCCUGAUGAAAGCACCAAUCACAAGGCAGUUGGUAGUUGGUUCCAAUAUAACAAUAGAUUAAAUUCUGGAAUACAAGCUGAAGAAGAAGAAAUCUAAAAAGGAGGACGUCUAAAGCAGGAAAUAUCAUGGGGGCCCUUUUGCGACUGGACUUGUUUGGUUGAAAUUUUUAUUCUUGCUUGAAGAGGACGUUUUCAAUGUUCAUAGGAGAGUUUUCACACAAGUCUUCGCCGUUUGAUUUGGCUAACAAGAAAUCCAAUACUCAGAUCAGACUCUGUGUUGAAGGUUGCCAAUAAAUUCUGCUGAAUCAGGUAAAAGUCUUACUCAUGAGGGCGAAUUCAUUAAACUCCGAAAAGCCAACUUAGGAUCAAAAUUUUAUGUUGAAUUGCUUUAUAGUAUAUCUUUAAUGAACUAUUCCAAGAGUCAGCGGUAUUUUUAUACCAGAAUAUUCGAUACCUCAUUGUUUUAAGAUGGUAAUGUAGUUUUUUUUUGGUGUGUUAUAC